CCUACGGGGGGCAGCAGUGAGGAAUAUUGGUCAAUGGGCUUACGCCUGAACCAGCCAAGUCGCGUGAGGGAAGACUGCCCUAUGGGUUGUAAACCUCUUUUGUCAGGGAGCAACGCCGGCUACGUGUAGCCGGACUGAGAGUACCUGAAGAAAAAGCAUCGGCUAACUCCGUGCCAGCAGCCGCGGUAAUACGGAGGAUGCGAGCGUUAUCCGGAUUUAUUGGGUUUAAAGGGUGCGUAGGCGGACUGGAAAGUCAGCGGUAAAAUCGAGAGGCUCAACCUCUUUCCGCCGUUGAAACUGUCGGUCUUGAGUGGGCGAGAAGUAUGCGGAAUGCGUGGUGUAGCGGUGAAAUGCAUAGAUAUCACGCAGAACUCCGAUUGCGAAGGCAGCAUACCGGCGCCCGACUGACGCUGAGGCACGAAAGCGUGGGUAUCGAACAGGAUUAGAUACCCCUGUAGUC
rnacentral:rRNA from 1 species